AUUGAACGCUGGCGGCAGGCCUAACACAUGCAAGUCGCACGAGUGGCGGACGGGUGAGUAAUGUCUGGGAAACUGCCCGAUGGAGGGGGAUAAGUACUGGAAACGGUAGCUAAUACCGCAUACCAUCGGAUGUGCCCAGAUGGGAUUAGCUUGUAGGUGAGGUAACGGCUCACCUAGGCGACGAUGCCUAGCUGGUCUGAGAGGAGGACCAGCAAGACGGGAACUGAGACACGUUCCAGAUGCCUAGGGAAGGAAGCAGUGGGGAAUAUGGCACAAGGGGCGAAAUCCUGAUGCAGCCAUGCCGCGUGUAUGAAGAAGGCCUUCGGGUUGUAAAGUACGUUCAGCGGGGAGGCGUUACCCGCAGAAGAAGUACCGGCUAACUCCGGGCCAGCAGCCGCGGUAAUUC
rnacentral:rRNA from 1 species